rnacentral:tRNA from 1 species
AUUUAUUUAGUAUAACUAAGUACACUUGAUUUCCAAUCAAAAAGCCUAAUAUUUAUAGAAUAAAUA